UACGUAGGUGGCAAGCGUUGUCCGGAUUUAUUGGGUUUAAAGGGUGCGUAGGCGGUUUUUAAGUCAGUGCUGAAAUACUCCAGCUUAACUGGAGGGGUGGCAUUGAUACUGGAAGACUUGAGUACAGAUGAGGUAGGCGGAAUUGACGGUGUAGCGGUGAAAUGCAUAGAUAUCGUCAAGAACACCGAUAGCGAAGGCAGCUUACUGGGCUGUAACUGACGCUGAUGCACGAAAGUGUGGGGAUCAAACAGG
rnacentral:rRNA from 1 species